rnacentral:lncRNA from 1 species
GUCUGGUCGAUCGAACAAGGCAGAAGAAAAGCUUGUAAACCCUAAUUCAUAAGAAAUCUUCCAAUUGACAAGGAAAAUUAGGCUUAAAUCUGAAGCAUGAACUAAGAUUAUGAUCAUUCAAGUGUUCUUCACACCAAGUUGACAAGUUCAUACUUCAUGAGAAGCCCACAACAUGGAAUGGAGGCUCCCCUAGUUAGUGGUCUGACAUCUUAUCUACCCUAGUUGACCCUUGUAUGUUAAUAGAAUUAAUGAUUUCUUCAAACUUGAUGAAUUGAUGUAAUUGAUACUUAAUGUUUUGAUGCACUUUCCGUUAUAAUUAACGAAUAUUAUUGAUUUAAGAACUAUGUUUUAAUGUGAUGAUCCAACUGU